GCCUGAGUGGCUCAGCGGUUAAGCACCUGCCUUCAGCCCAGGGAGUGAUUCCAGAGUCCUGGGAUCGAGUCCCACAUCAGGCU
rnacentral:tRNA from 1 species